rnacentral:rRNA from 1 species
CGUCCCCCGCCCCCGCCCGCCUACGGGAGGCACAGUGGGGAAUAUUGCACAAUGGGCGAAAGCCUGAUGCAGCAACGCCGCGUGAGUGAUGAAGGCCUUCGGGUUGUAAAGCUCUGUCUUCUGGGACGAUAAUGACGGUACCAGAGGAGGAAGCCACGGCUAACUACGUGCCAGCAGCCGCGGUAAUACGUAGGUGGCAAGCGUUGUCCGGAUUUACUGGGCGUAAAGGAUGCGUAGGCGGAUACUUAAGUCAGAUGUGAAAAUCCCGGGCUUAACUUGGGAACUGCAUUUGAAACUGGGUAUCUAGAGUGUGGGAGAGGAAAGUGGAAUUCCUAGUGUAGCGGUGAAAUGCGUAGAGAUUAGGAAGAACACCAGUGGCGAAGGCGACUUUCUGGACCAUAACUGACGCUGAGGCAUGAAAGCGUGGGGAGCAAACAGGAUUAGAUACCCUGGUAGUCCACGCCGUAAACGAUGAUACUAGGUGUGAGUUAUCAUGACCUCCGUGCCGCAGU